GAUGAACGCUAGCGGCAGGCUUAACACAUGCAAGUCGAGGGGCAGCAUAGAGGUUAGCAAUAACUUCUGAUGGCGACCGGCGCAAGGGUGCGUAACGCGUGAGCAACUUGCCCUUAUCAGGGGGAUAACCAAUGGAAACGUUGACUAAUACCCCAUAGUAUACUUUUAAGGCAUCUUUUGAGUAUUAAAGAAUUUCGGAUAAGGAUAGGCUCGCGUGACAUUAGCUAGAUGGCGGGGUAACGGCCCACCAUGGCGACGAUGUCUAGGGGUUCUGAGAGGAAGGUCCCCCACACUGGAACUGAGACACGGUCCAG
rnacentral:rRNA from 1 species